rnacentral:rRNA from 1 species
GAUGAACGCUGGCGGCGUGCCUAAUACAUGCAAGUCGAGCGAACAGACGAGGAGCUUGCUCCUCUGACGUUAGCGGCGGACGGGUGAGUAACACGUGGAUAACCUACCUAUAAGACUGGGAUAACUUCGGGAAACCGGAGCUAAUACCGGAUAAUAUAUUGAACCGCAUGGUUCAAUAGUUAAAGACGGUUUUGCUGUCACUUAUAGAUGGAUCCGCGCCGCAUUAGCUAGUUGGUAAGGUAACGGCUUACCAAGGCAACGAUGCGUAGCCGACCUGAGAGGGUGAUCGGCCACACUGGAACUGAGAAACGGUCCAGACUCCUACGGGAGGCAGCAGUAGGGAAUCUUCCGCAAUGGGCGAAAGCCUGACGGAGCAACGCCGCGUGAGUGAUGAAGGUCUUCGGAUCGUAAAACUCUGUUAUUAGGGAAGAACAAAUGUGUAAGUAACUAUGCACGUCUUGACGGUACCUAAUCAGAAAGCCACGGCUAACUACGUG